rnacentral:rRNA from 1 species
AGCGUAGGUGGCCUAACAUGUCAACUGUGAAAACCCGGAGCUCAACUCCGGACUUGCAGUUGAAACUGGUAGGCUUGAGGACGGUAGAGGAAGACGGAACUGCCAGUGUAGGGGUAAAAUCCUUAGAUAUUGGCAGGAACGCCGGUGACGAAGGUGGUUUUCUGGGCCGGUUCUGACACUGAUGCUCGAAAAGCCAGGGGAGCGAACGG